rnacentral:rRNA from 1 species
AUGAGUGCGGCGGGUGUGGAUGGAUCCGACAAGAAAAGAAGCAGGUCCAGCCGAGACGAUCCCUUGGCCUUGCCGGAGAAGAAGAAGAAGGUGAGUGUGCGGAGAGACGAGGCAUCGUUGCCUGAUCCAGACGCGUGGGUUCUCAGCGAUGCCGACUUGGCCAGGAUGAAAUGCGCCCAAGAAUCAGCUCCCCGCCCUGUGAAAAUCCCUACGCUCGAUUACUUCAAACCCCCGACCAGGUUUCACACCGCCGAGGUCUUCGCCGUCCGUGAUUCAAGCGAGGCCGCGCUCUCUGCUGCCAAAUUUCUCCUAGGGGUUUCAUCCUCUCUUGAUGGUGAACCGCUGAGACGCUGCUCCGGCUUCUGGGUCGAUUGGGAUGAGGAGAAGAAAACCGGCCUUGUUUUGACAACUGCGCGUCUGAUUCGCACAAAGGAUUCUCCUGACAGCGGCUGGUCAGGCGGCCAAGAGUAUGCUCCUCGUGCUGAUGUCACUGUUCAUUUGCUAAAUGGCACCAGUGCAAAGGGCGAUCUGGUCUACUACCAGCCCCAUUACGAUAUCGCUUUCUUGAAUGUUGAGGUGGGUCAACCAAUCAAGUUACCAUCUUUUCGUGAAGAAGAUGUUAAAUUUGCUCAAGAUGUUUUUCGGCUCGGAAGAGAUGAUUCCUUAAAUCUAAGGAUAACAUAUGCUAGGGCAGAAUAUAAGAAUCCAAACAUGUAUCGGCGGUACCACAAUGUGCACUUCCGUUCUCCAGAUGACCAUGGUGAUGAUAAUGAGUAUGACAAUGGGGGCCUAGUCAUUGACUUGAAUGAAAACGUUGUCGGAAUGGUCAACCUCCCUAAGAGAUUUGGGUCUUUUAUACCUUCUUCCAUUUUGCUCAACUGUUUGGAUUCAUGGAAGAAAUAUCGGUGCAUCGCCCGGCCCCAUCUUGGGAUGAUGUUUCAAGCCAUCAAGCUUCUAGAACCUGCUCAUGUUGACAUGUUAUGGCGAAUGUAUAACAUUGAUCAUGGUCUUAUUGUUCAAGAGGUGUCGAAAGGAUCUAAUGCUGAGAUACUCGGAAUCCAAAAAGGUGAUGUUAUUGAAUCUAUCAAUGGAAAACCUGUUUCUACCACAAUCGAGUUGGAAAAUACGCUGAUGAUCACAUGCAAGGGCCCUUCAGGUGCUGAAGUUCAUAUUUCUGUUGGGGUGUUUCACACACUCAAAAAACAACGAAGUACUGUACAGUGGACAGCAGAAUUAUCAGAACUUGGAGAAGUUCUUACAAGCUAG